AGCAUUAUUAGAUUUUGUUCAAUUUGUGUUGUUGUUCUUCUUCUUCCACAGCCAUUGUCCUGAUCAUGUGAUUUUCCUUCUUCAGCCUGUUGCUGUGGUAGAAUGUUGGUUUAUUUUCCAGUAUUGAAUCAGCUCUGCACACGAGAGAAAUCCCACUUAGCUGUGGCAUGUAACCAUUUUGUGCACCACUGGAUCAAUAUUUGCUAAAAUUUUGUGCCUAAAUUCACGAGAGGUAUCCGUUGGUGAUUUAAAAAUUAUUAUUAUCAUUAUCAUCAGUGUGUGUGUGUGUGUGUGUGUGUGUGUGUGUGUGUGUGUGUAUGUGUGUGUGUAUGUAUGUAUGCGCAUGUGUGGUGUGGGUCUGAGUGCCGGCUUUCAGAAGUUGGUUCUCUCCUUCUACCAUUGUUCCUGGGGACAGAACACAUUGGAAUACUUGCAUGGUGAGCACUUUGUUUCCCGUGGCAUCUUGCUGACCCUAGUUUAGCAUUUUGUUUGUACAGCCUUUAUCUGUUUUUUGUAUCAGGAUAACAUCACUAUCUAAAAGGAGUUGGGCAUUUCAAGAAGUUAUUGUGUAAAAUGGACAUCAUGAUUCUUCUCCUCACGGCAAGCUUGACUACUUUUUGGCUAAUCUGGAUCCAGUCUAGACAAUAGGCUAAGUACCACAUCUAUGACCAGGUCCCCACCCAUCUUGAAGGUUGAGUUCAUCUUAAUCUUAGCUUUAUAUGACUUUAAAAUUUGUACCCUCCCAUCUGUAAGCAGACUUCCCGUGUAUAUCUGUCUGUGUUAUUGAUUAGUACCCUCCCCUCUGUGAGCGCACCCCUGUAUAUGUCUGUCUGGGUCAUUGGCCCACCCACUUGUGCUUUUUCACUGAGCACGUUUUGAGCAGCAGACCCCUGACUGGACACUUGGAACCCAGGGUCCCUUAUCAUAGCUCAUCUUCCUUUCUUCCUUUUCCCUCACCACUGGUUCUGAGCUGCAUUUAGCUAUGAAGCCGCCUGCAGCUAGUUCUACGAAGCCACGAAGCCUCCAGCAGACAGCUCUACAGAGUCUGCAAAGCCACCCGCAGCCAGCCCUAUGGAGCUGCAAAGCCGCCUGCAGCCAGCUCUCCAAAGCCAGGAAGCUGCCUGCAGCCAGCUCUCUGCAUUUCUCCACUCUUGCUGACCUCAUUCUUAUAGGGAGGGACAGCUGAGCCAGUUCUCUCGGAUAGAUCGUCCAUUUGCGCUUAUGUCUCUACUUAGCACCACAACAUGGUGACUGUAACUCAUGAAACUGUAUUAUUACCUUACAGUUCUGAAGGUGGUCUCCAGAAGAGCUCAUCGGCAUUCAAUGGAUUACUGGCAAAGCUGUGUUCCUUCUUCAGGCUCCGGAGAGUCCGUUUACUGCCUAUUCUAGUUUCCGGAAGUUGCCUGAGUUCUUCAGCUUCUUGCUCCCUUUCCCUCAGCGUCAAGAAUAUAUAAAUUUCACCUCUCCUGUGCUGACCAUUACUGGGGAUGGACUUUAGGUUGCUCCUGACUCCCUUGCAAUACAGAUGUUGCUGUAAGAAGCGCCCAGGGCAUACCUCCUGUGCGUGGGGAUGGAAUUGUGAUUCUACUCCGCUCUACCCUCCUGCCAGCCUUGCCUGUGAGGUCUUGCUUCAUGAUGCACUCUGCCCUUACUCUUCUGUGGUAUGGAAAUGCUCCAACCGUUUCCCAGUUGCAAUGCAGCAGACAGACAAGGGAGGAAAGGCAGUUCUAACUCAUCACCUACUAUGUGACUACAUCACCUACUAUGUGACCUACUGGA
rnacentral:lncRNA from 1 species